rnacentral:tRNA from 1 species
CGGGUGUAGUUAAGUGGUAUAACAACAGCCUUCCAAGCUGUGGUCGGGAGUUCGAUUCUCCCCACCCGC